UGUGAACUCCAAAAGAUAAUCUGGACAAAUAAAUUAUAUUGUAACUGGAGAGUGCAAUCGUGCUUGGGACCCAUCCCAAUGUCAUCACAUGGCUGUGGUGACUAGUGUAUACCUGGGAGAAUUUUUCCUCAACUGAGACGGAGUGUAGAUGGAUGGAUUAUGAGAAAUGCGAAGAUGUGGAGUUCAAGGCUAGAUGCACUUCACAUUCGGCGUGGGAUCUCGGCGUCUCGGACCUGAUAACGUCUUGGUUGGAUGGGUGAUCAAGGAUGAUACUACUCGGCACACCAAUGUACAUGUCAAUGUAGUUUUUACUUUUUCAGAGCUGCACUAUUUACGUCUUGAUGCUUACUUCGGUGCUAGUGUCGUGUCCGUGUGUUGCUACAAUGUCAUUAUCUGUAUUGUAUUCCGUCUGCUUAUACAUGUGUCUUUAUGAAGUGUUUGCCGUGGCGGCGAUGUGUCUUGUCGAUCAAUAGUGUUGUGAAACCUAUCACUAUUCAUGCUUUGCUGGCUACUCGCUCGCUCCGCGCCGUGCACGCUACUAGGUCUUGUAGUAUAUAGCUCG